rnacentral:rRNA from 1 species
UAGCAUAAUCAUUAGUUUUUUAAUUGAAGACUGGAAUGAAAGGUUUAAUAAAAAAUAUUCUUUAUUAUUUAUUUAUAAUUGAAUUUAAUUUUUUAGUAAAAAAACUAAAAUAUUAAAAAAAGACGAUAAGACCCUAUAAAGCUUAAUAAAAAUUAAUUAUAAAUAUUAGUUAGAAUAUUAAAAUUUUUAUUUUAUUAUUAUUUAAUUGGGGUGAUUUAAAGAUUUAAUAAACUCUUUAUUUUUUAAUUUAAAUAUUUUUAAUUUUUUUUGAUCCUAUUAUUUAGAUUAAAAAAUUUAGUUACUUUAGGGAUAACAGCGUAAUUUUUUUAAAGAGUUCAAAUCGAUAAAAAAGAUUGCGACCUCGAUGUUGAAUUAAAAUUUAAUUUUAGGUGCAGAAGUUUAAGAUUU